rnacentral:lncRNA from 1 species
GACACCGGCAUUCCGAUGUGAUGUCUGAGAGAUUUGGCAGCUGCUCAGCAGAGCACAAACACCUACUGCGGCAUCAAACAGUAGGACGCCAUGUGAGUUAAUGGCAGUGAGGAUUCUGGACUGAGGGGAUGAAUUGAACCAGUGUGUCAAGGGAAGAGCCAACCACUACUGUUGGAUGAGAACUGAUGGGCUGUCCAAGCUGGCAAUAGCAUGCCAACUGCAAAAGGUAAAGGUGGUCCAAUGUCCCACCGCUACCGGCCUGCCGCAGAAUACGAUGAUGCCACCCUCGCCCAAAAGAGAGAAUACUGGAGAAACAAGAAGCGAGAGCAGAGGGCUCGACUGUCCGAGAGGAGAAGAAAGCCAACGCAAGACAGAGGGAAAAAGCUCCUACAUCUAAAUCCCCCUGCAGUGGUGAAUUCCAGUUUAUCUGGCUCCUUUGCUGCUUUCUCGUCUCCUUUGCAGAGUAAUGAUGAGUCAGACAAAACAGCCAAUGUCUCUCCUGUAUUACAGAUUGGAAAUACAGUGGGGAAUAGCUCAGUUGAAGCCACCCAAAACCAAAAGGAGAAAUGGCUCCAGACAAUGAAACUCAACAAGGUCUUGCCUCAGUUGCCAGCAUCGUAUUCCAUCUCAGCCAAAACUGCUGGGGGUGACGCAGCCACAGUGAAAUGUUUAACAGCAAGGGGUGCUGUGAGCAGAGCCGUUACCUCACCCACACCCACACCCAGUGGAACCCAGCUGAACACCUGUUCCUCAGUGCCUCCAGUAAGAGUGACCAGAAUUACCAAUGGCAGCUCAGCUAAAACAACACCUCAGCCAUGUGUGUCUAUGCAGGGAGCAUCAGUCUCCAAAACGCAACAUAAGGCACAAGUUGCAUUACGCAUUCAGCCCAAACUCUCACCCACUAAUGUGACCACAGGUAUGAUUCUUGUGUCUUCUCCACAUGGCCCUGUUUCUGUUAGAAAAGAGGGCAAAGCAGCGAACACAACACCUCAGAGUGGAACAAAGAGUGCCUUGGUCACCCUGCAGAGGGCUAAAGGUGUUAGCAACUCACAUCCUUCCCUGGAGUCUGAGGAGGAGAGAGCGGCCAAGCGCAGGGAGCACUGGCGGAUCAAAAAGCGAGAGCAGAGAGCGAAAGUGGCAGCUCGAAUAGCUAAAACCAGAGAAAGGACACAAGGUGUGGAGAUGAUGUUACACAGGCAAACAGCACAAAAAACGGGACUCGUGGGUGGCACGAUUCUUCAGAAUCUUCCAUCCAGAGGAGUAGGCCAGAAGUGUCCUACUCGAGUCAAAACUUCUUUUACAUCUGCCAAAAGGGAAAAUGAUAAACUGGAAAGCGGGGCAGCAAGUUUAGCUACAGCUAAUCCACCUGGGAAUAGGACGACACAGACAUCUGAUGUUAUUUCUGUGAAAAAGCCAGGGGAGACACAAAGAAAGUUUCCAAGUUAUGUCUAUCUUUCCAAUGUUUCCCGAGGGAUUGCACGCUGUAAAACACCUAGACAGAGGUUCAUCGAAGCCCAGAAGAAUUUCAUGAAUCAAAGAAAUAUAAGAUGUAAAUCCCCAUUGCUUGCCUCAGUCUUUGGUACCAGAAAUAUCCCCAAGAUUGACCCCAACGACACACCUGAGCAGAUAAUAGCCAAACGGCGAGAGUACUGGCGGAUUAAAAAGCGCGAGCAGCGGGCUAAGCUGUCGAUGGAGGUGAAGGCUCGGUUGAAGGAGAAGGACUCCCUGAUGCGGAGAGUGAAACGUUACCAGAAAAUCCUUGAGGAAAUGAGGAGGGCCAGAGCGCUUACACAGUCAGCAGGAAGCACCCUCACGCACGCCUCUGAGACCAUUGGAGGGUUCAUCAAAGAGGACGGGACAGUGACUAUUAACAUUCCCCAGGUUCCUACAGAUCACAACACAGCAGCACACAAAAGUGAAGAGGAACUUCAUGUAGUUUCUAAUAAUACCCCUGUCACAAAACCUCAGCAUCAGCCUGAUACUAAACAGAGAAGUAUCGCACCCAUUUGUGUAAACCAGCCUCCCCCUCCACUCCACCCAGCUCAGGUGAAAGUCUCUUUGUCUCUUCCUGUACAGUCUGUCAACAAGCCUCCAAGACUACUGUCAAUCAGACCAAGGACACAACUUGAAAGCACAACUGUUCCAACUAAUUCACACUCGUUAGAUAUCCAAACUGUAAGUCAGCUCACACUCACUCAUCCUCAGACCCCUCAAAAUGGCAUCUCUGGAGGAUCAACAACAGGAUCUAACCUUGGUGGCUGUGUCAUGAAAAUGGCGGUCUCAAGUAGUGCACCAGCAGUGCUCUCUCUGGAUCCAGAGCUGACAGAGGAGGAGAAGAUGGCAAAGAAGAGGGAAUACUGGAGGAUAAAGAAACGUGAGCAGCGAGCAGCUCGUGCUGCUCGGCUGAAGCAGGGUGUCUUGCAAGCGAGGGUCAGUGCGGCCUUACAGAGGCGGAAGUCCCAGAAGCAAGUAGCAGUAAGCACUGUACCAAUAGGCAGGAGGCUUACUAACCAUACAGGAAAUGCACAACCUCUCCCCAACAACAGUGUGCCUGUUACGCCACAUACAAGUGAGAUAAAACAAGAGAGUGAGUCUAUGCCAGCGGUUGACCUAAAUUCUCAACCAGAGCAAGCCAUCUGUCCAGAUAUCAAACCCCCAACACCACCUCCAGCGCCUCAGCCAGAGCCUGACCCAGCUAUGAAUGCAGACAGCCAAGCUACUACUCUGCUAGCCGUGGCCUCUAUGAAGAAACUCCUGGAGGAAUCACUUAGCACAGUGGCGGAGUGUAAAAGUGAGCAGACUGACAUCAAAAUAGAGUCAACAGAAGAGAGUUCAGAUUCAGAGAUGAAGCCAAAUUUAUCUCAGCUCUUUUUUGAAAAGGAUGAGGUGGCUCCUAUGGCUGCUGACCUGACGUUGGAGAUAAAGAGCUGGCAGCCAGACACUGAUGCUUUGGUACAAACAGGUUCCUCAGACCCUCAUCUGAAGGACUCACCGCAAAUUACAGAGACACCACCUCUUCCUACCUCUAGUGAGGUAGACCUGCACCCCACCUGUGAGCACUCAUCCCAAACCAGUUCGAACUUCAUAGUAAACCCCAUGGAAACCUCUCACAGCCCAUCUUCACCACGUAGAACCCAGAGACUUCGCAACAAAAAAGCAGGCCAUCAAAACUGCUGUUCCCCAGAGCCGCCAAAGCUACAUCACCUACCCAUGGAUCAACUACUGCAACAACACUGUGAACAACAGUGUCAGGCACAAGAACAGUGCCAAAACAGCAGCUUGCCAUCAGCACAACGACAUCGCAGUGUGGAGAACAGCGGCCUGACCAGCCUGCAGAGGAAGAGGGAGUACUGGAAGCUGAUGAAGAGGCAGCAGAGGGCCAGGUUAAAGGCAAGGCAGACAGAAAGACCGGGAGAGGGAAGCAGUCGGCUUUCCCAGAAAAACAUCCAGGCUCCAGGUCUUAUUAUCAACACUGUUAAGGUUAUAAAUCCCCCAGCAAAACCAUCCCUUCAGCCCAGGCCAUCUGUUGCUUCUCUGACUGCAGUGACCAGUAUCCCUACUGUCCUGGUUGUUAGCCCUACAACAUGUAAUGCUGACCAGUCACCUGACACACUCCAGGUCAAAUUGCCCAUCGCCAGUGUUUCCUGUUCACCCAGAAAUGAGCAAAACAAAGUGAAUGUUGGGCCUUCACAGAUUGAGUCUGACUAUCUAGAAGCUGCAGAGAAUCAGCAACAAGCCAUGCCAGGAUCACGAAAGUGGAUGUCUAGAAGCACAGAUGUAGACCCAGUUCCCUGCCUCCUUACUCUGAAGCCUCCAGACAACCCACUGUCCAGCAUCAACCUGCAACCCAUUGAACCACUUGGUCAAAUGCCAGAUUCCACCCUCAGUCCAAUAAAAAUCCAUUGUGCCCAACUUCAGAGCCCUGCACAUAUGAUACAACCUUCCACUAAGCUGGCACCUAUAAGCACCAUGGUUCCACCAAAGCCCAUCCUAGGGGAGUCUGAGGAGGAUUAUCUGAGGAGGAAACGGGAGUACUGGAGGAUAAAAAAGAAGGAACAGAGAGCUAGGAAGGCCAUUCGGGAAAAGGGAAUAACCCCAAGGAGAAGCUCCAACAACUGGAGGCCCAUCCUGCCUGCCCAGGACCUACAAACACAGGAUUCUGGUCAGUGGGUGAGCUCCUCUGAGGAGUCAGAACAUCUAAUGAGCACUUCAGUGGAUACCGACCCGGGAUCAUUUCCAUACUCAAAUUACACAGCACCAGUAGAAGAUGAGUCGGAGCUUCUGUUCGCUGACUAUGAGAAUAAUAACAACGAGGAAGGUCCAGUCUCAGACGCUGUGUGGAGGAACCGCUACCUCAUGGACUACGAUCCUCUCAACCAGCUGCUGGUGUGCAUGGUGUGUGGGGAGCUGCAGUACUCACACAGCCUGGAGGGAGUGAGGGCCCACAUCGACGAAGCCCACCCAGACACCCUGACCCUGGAGCCAGGGGAGCAACAGCAAAUACUUGAGGCCUGGGACGAGCAGGUGUCCCAGCGGGAACGCUUCUUCACCAGCCAGCUCCAGCAGCACAGCGGGGCCCUGGCAGAAGUACACAACAGAGACCGAGUCAACUGA